UACGUAGGGUGCGAGCGUUGUCCGGAAUUAUUGGGCGUAAAGCGCGUGUAGGCGGCUUUGCAAGUCGGGUGUGAAAGCCCUCGGCUCAACCGAGGAAGUGCGCCCGAAACUGCAGAGCUUGAGUGCCGGAGAGGAUGGCGGAAUUCCCCAAGUAGAGGUGAAAUUCGUAGAUAUGGGGAGGAACACCGGUGGCGAAGGCGGCUAUCUGGACCGUAACUGACGCUGAGGCGCGAAAGCGUGGGGAGCAAACAGG
rnacentral:rRNA from 1 species